rnacentral:lncRNA from 1 species
ACACCUUCCCAGGGAGGGCCGAGCCAGGCCAGCCGGCUUCCCUGGCUACGCUCCUGCCCUCACCCCACAGGGUGGUUUUUUUUUUUUUUUUUUUCUCCUCCUCCAGACCUAAAGCCAAAGAGUUUCGCCAUUGGUUUUUCGUGCCGGCCCACCGGGGGGGCUCGCGAUGUCUCUCGCCCGGGCUGCAUGGGGCCACCUAAGGGAGGACAGCGCCCACCCCAGACGUCCUUGGCGUCGGCUGGAGAGCAACUGGCCCUGUGUGCAGCAUCCCUAUCCCAAGCGAGAGACCAUCCCUCAGCAGUGACUGGGCUCUUGGGCGCUUGCCCCUCCGCUCUGCACCCAACCGCCUCCACCCAACCAGGUAAGGUCCAUCCUGGCCGGCACUGCUCCCCACGGCUCUUUGGCCUUGCCUCCCGUCCCACUACCUGCCCUUCCUCACCAGGCACGGCGCUUCCUUUGUGGGGACUGCCCUUGCAGUCCCGUCGUCUGCCCCCAAAUCCCCACCUCCGGGUCACCCUCUCUCGCUGCCUUGCUGCCCCGGCGCGGGCUCAUCCCAUCCUCUUCACGCACCCUUGGGACCCUUGCGGCCCUGUCCAGGUGCCCUUCCCUGGGCUCCUGUGGAGGCUGGGGAGGGGGAUUGCUGCCCAAAACCCAGCGUUUCCCCGCUGUGAUAUCAGCUCAGAGGCCAGGGGUACGGGGCAGGGUGAUGGGACGGGAGAUGGGGCCAUUUCCCGGGGCUGCCACUGGGGAGGGCAGACCCCCCCACACACACCCUGGCUGUCUAGGGGCGGGAGCGGGGUCGCCCAGCCGGCCAUCAGCAUGUGUUUACACGCGUGUGCAUGUGUUUGUGUGCGUGUGGACCACGUGGUACCUAGGCCAGAAACCACGAGCACCCUCCGUGCCACCUUUGUUGCGCUCUAAGGCCAAAGCGAAGCAAAGCUGGUUUGAAUUGGUGUGGACAAAUCCAAGGUACUAAAAAAAAAAAAAAAAAAAAGGAAAAAAGAUAAUCUGUAACUAGCUUUUCAUUAUUGUAUGGAGAUUCUUACCAUAAAAGCUGUGCGAGUCACAUGGCCUCUAUUUCUUACCAUCUACUGUAUUUUGUGUAAUUAAUGCAAUUUAAAGCCUGUGGAGCUUUAUAUUUUUUUGUCAGUUGUGUCCUAUAAACCAUUUUCUAAAGGCACUGAAUAAAGAAAGUUAUCCUCUUG